GACGAACGCUGGCGGCAUGCCUAAUACAUGCAAGUCGAGCGAACAGAUGAAGUGCUUGCACUUCUGACGUUAGCGGCGAACGGGUGAGUAACACGUAAGGAAUCUACCUAUAAACGGGGGAUAACAUUCGGAAACGGGUGCUAAUACCGCAUAAUAUCUUCUUCCGCAUGGAAGAAGAUUGAAAGACGGCUCUGCUGUCACUUAUAGAUGACCUUGCGGUGCAUUAGUUAGUUGGUGGGGUAAUGGCCUACCAAGACGAUGAUGCAUAGCCGACCUGAGAGGGUGAUCGGCCACAUUGGGACUGAGACACGGCCCAAACUCCUACGGGAGGCAGCAGUAGGGAAUCUUCCGCAAUGGGCGAAAGCCUGACGGAGCAAUGCCGCGUGAGUGAAGAAGGCCUUCGGGUCGUAAAACUCUGUUAUAAGAGAAGAACAAAUUGUAGAGUAACUGCUACAGUCUUGACGGUAUCUUAUCAGAAAGCCACGGCUAACUACGUGCCAGCAGCCGCGGUAA
rnacentral:rRNA from 1 species